rnacentral:rRNA from 1 species
GAUUCAUCUGGUAUGGGAUGGGGUCGCGUCCUAUCAGCUUGAUGGCGGGGUAACGGCCCACCAUGGCUUCCACGGGUAGCCGGCCUGAGAGGGCGACCCGCCACAUUGGGACUGAGAUACGGCCCACACUCCUACGGGA